AUUUAUUUAUGUUUUGUUACAGCAAUAUGGUGGGUGCGUUAGUACAGUUGUCACAAAUCCUGCUCUACAGGAGGAGACUGUCAAUGUGCAGUGCAACAUCUAUGGACCACAGGUAGGAUCAGCACACACCACUGAUGUCUGUGGGCGCUGAAUAGAGCAGUAACUGCUGGCUGUCUGGAAUCCAUAAAUAAUGGUGCAGGUUGUGAAGCGGCAGAGCUACUGCUCAGAGCACAGCUUUCCUGUUCCCCUAACUCUAGACAUGAGGGAUAGCUCAGUUGCAUGGAGCUUUUCUAUUCUGUCUUUCUGAGUUGAGUAACGAGAGGGAGAGAGAUUAAAAUUAUCACUUGAUUGUGUGGGAGUGUGUCCAUGGAUAUGUAUAUGCAUGUUUAUUUCUCCAUGUUUGUGUGGUAGUGUGUCUAUGGAUAUGCAUUUGUGUGUGCCUUCCACAUCAGUACUAGUGCAUGUUUACAUGAUUGUUAUUGUGUCUUCAUACUAUAAAUGUAUUCACGUUCUUUUUCUUUAUUAUGCUUUCCACACCCACUUGAAGGGGACACUGAGCUAACCAAUCACUGCCCUAUCCCUAGGAAUACUAGAAAAGUGCAUUAAGCAUUCCUGACAGACUUAGACAUCUGCAGCUGGAAAAUCUCUUUACCUUGUAACAAAGUGAUGCAUGUCCUUUUAUGUAUUUUGAGAGGAUUCAUGUGCAUAUCAAUAAAGCUUUAGUACUUGCAUUUUUUGUCUAACAAAAUGUCAUAGGUAAUAAAGUGAAGACAACUCAAGCUAACACAACCCUAUAACAAAAGUAUACACUACACUAUAUUUAGCUACAAAUGAGGAAACCAUAACAUGAAUGUAGACAUUCCUUCUAUAUAUCAGCCACCUGCCCAAGUAAAUACUAUUUGUAUGGUAAAUUGUCCAGGGCAGGGUCCUAUUAUACUAAUGUGUGCAAAUGUAGUUAUGCUCUCUAUAGUAAUUUCUAUAUAUUGACUUUACCUACCAUAAAUGCACUUUUGGAGCUGUUUAAAUAACAUAACACAUGUAACAUAUACAUCUAUAAGGCUGGCCCAAGACAUUGAUGCUUGGAACCAAAGGCAAAAGGUGUGCCUCCAGCAUCACUUACUAAACCCCACCUUCUGAAGGUACACCUACACUUACCAAAAAAAUUACCAAUACUUUCACAUAUACAUAGACACAAGCUAGCAUUCAUACUCUGAAUCACAGUAACACACACAUAUAUAGACACACACUCACAUAUAUAGCCAAACACUCACAGCCAUAUUUUGUAAUUGUAUUACGUUUGCCUCCACUCUCUCCUGCUGCUUACCCUUGUUUCAUCAAGAAGGAAGAGAGUUAUGUCUGCUGUUCAUGAUUUUGAAUGUUAGAGAAGCAGUAUCUGUUCACUGGGCAACAUUCCUUAUUGCCCUCAUUUACAUGGUGCCCAUUAAAUGAGCAAUGGAUGCCAGGAUAUCGCCUCACAUCCCAACACCCUCUGCCCAAUUUAAUGUUAAUAUGCAGCUGACAGACGGUAACUCUGUCCUUCUUACUGCAGUUUCUGAAUGCUGGACAGACAGCACUUAACAUUUUGUCUUGCACCUAAAAAUUCCAGUGCUCAUCCCAACAAAUAGCCUCCUGUCUUCCUCAGCAAUAUAACCAGAGCUGCCUUGUCAAUUCCCAUCAAUGAAUUAUACCUAUCAAAAAGCAUAGGGCAACCUUCCAGGAUGGGGCAUGCAUUGAACAAGGAGUGGCAUGUGUAUGGAACCAUAAAGCAAUGUGCCACCACCAUCCCAAAGUGUUGUUUAGGUCUGUUGGACCAACCUUGAAUCCAUCUUUAGAUUUUAGCUGAAUUAUUCCACCAUCUGCUGUCUUAAAUAUGAAUUACAAGCUCUAUCAAUGUUACUGAUAUGUUUGAAUUUGCAUGGUCAUAUUAAUUGUUUGCAAUUUUGUGUUUUUAGCCUGCACAAGAUCAACAAGCAACAGUACAAGAUGUGCCUGUGGUACCACAGCAACCGAAAGUGCAUGGGCAUUAUCACCAUAGCCUCUAUCAUUCAAGUUUGUGGCCACACUCAUCUGAAUCAAGCUCUGCUGAGCAUCACCAGAAAGCUAUUGGCAAGCCCGUGGUCAGAAGGUCACUGACUGGUGAGCCUGUACCCCCAAAUACACUGCAAAGACAACUAUGUCCUGGGAGAAAACUUAUCUUUUAAUCGGCUACAGCUUGAAAAAAAUUAAAUGCAAACCAGUGAAUAAGUAAGACACAAUUAGUUGUAUGUUUGUCUAUCAUGUUUCAUAUAUUUAGGAGUUUAAAAGAUUUUUUUCCCACACAAAACCUAAAUAAUAAAUGUUGACAGGUAAGAAAAUGGCACAAAAAGAAAAUGUUGUACAAUCCAGCUUGCAUACAUAUUUUCAGACAGAUAUGCUGAAAUGAUGGAAUUGUCAGUGGUGUGCAAACAGCAAUAUCAACAAAACCUCUCCUCCUGCUUAAUAUGUUUAAACCACAAAUUGGCAACCAAAUGUUGUACCACAUAUAUCAUAAUUCUCUACCACCUAACUUCGAUAGUCCAAUAACAGUAGAAGGGCCAAGGUUGAACACGAUUCUUCUAAACAUGCAGUUCAUUACAGCUCUGUAUUUGAAAAUAAAAAAAAUGAAGAGCCUUCUUUCAAUCAUAUUCAUAAAACUAAUCUUCUCAAUAAAAAUUACACAGAAUUUUAGAAAACUCUAAAUCAAUAAAGGCCUUGUUGUCUGCUUUUCAUUUGUAUGUAUCACCCUGUUUGAGCUCAGGAAAUGAAUCUAGAACACACCGUUAAAUUAGAAAUUGUAUUUGACAGGUGUUUGCGUGUGUAUCCAAUGGUGCUAAACUUUACUGUAAUGCCAUGUGUGGAUUUAUGAAUUACUAAAACAUGCUGUGACAACAUAUGGUCCAGUACAAACAAUAAAUCAAAUGGUGCUUUUUUUUCCUAAUAAAAAAAAUAUUGCUUACUAUUUAAUGUGCUUUGUUACUUCAUUUGCUCUCUUUAUUUAAAGGAAC
rnacentral:lncRNA from 1 species